GCUUCUCUAAGAGACACAUUCAUAUUUCACAGAGAGACAGUGGAUCACUGAUGUCAUGACAAAUGAUACCAAAGACAUUUACUAAAUUUAGCAAAAGUAUUUGAUAAAUGUACCAUUACUAUUUGAUAGUGGUUUUAAACUAUAGUAAGGUCGAAAAAACAGGACUGAGAUGAUGAGGAUAUCACUGACAUUCAUUAUUUUCUUAAUGACAGCAACACCACCUCUGUGCACACAAGCCACAAACAAGGAAGAAAAAGGAAAAGAUGCAACUUCUUUAACAGCUGGCAUUGCGGUGGGCUGUGUGGCUUUACUGACAAUUGUGCUUGUGCUGAUACUAUGCAGACACAAACUCCCCAGGACAAAAGCGUGUUGUGCUGCAGAUGAAUCAUCAGAGCUGAGGACAACUGCUGAACAUAACAGAGAGGAAAUCCCUGAAGUUCGACUGUAUGAGGAAAUACAGAUGUCGAACCAGCAGGCAAACUCAGGAAACACUCUGCCAUCCGUCUAUGCCACCAUUAAUCCUCCGGCUGACCCGCUCCACUAUGCAAGCGUCAAUUUUAAGACAGACUCUGACUUGGCAUUGACAGACAAGAAUACUGACACAAAUAAGAACGGAACCUUGGCCAGCGACUACUCCUCUAUAAGUCCAUUUCAGGGUCUCACUCAACCUCCUCCAUUAACAGAGCAGACUCUUUACUCUACAAUCAGAAAGUCUGAGCAAUAAUGAGACAGACUUUCACCUGUUACUGUUGAAGGGACAUUUCACCCCAGAAACUAAAUAUAUAUAUACUUAUUCCCCAUACCUGUAGUGCUGUUUGGGUCAUUCCAGAAGUGGAGGACAUUUAGCCUCAUGGCUAAGUAGUUAUUUAAUGAGACGUAUAUGUGAAUAUUAAUCUUA